UCUGGCGCUGAGGAGCUGCGUCCCUUCUCGGAAGGACACCACCGGCCCCUCUGCAGAGGGCUGACGACCCCUCCUCCGGGUGGUGAUCCACAAAGGAGAAAAUGAAAAGCUAGCAACCCCCACAAAACAAAAGCUUCCCCCUGUCUUUCCCCUCUGAUGCCAGAACCCUGCGAACCCGCGCGGCGUCCUCUUCUCUCGAACACUAGUCCCUUCCGCAGAGGGGGAGGAGAAGCCCCAGCCCAGCUCCUAGUGGGAUGCAGGAGGAGGAGUGACGUCCACCAGCAGCACAUGAAGCAGCAAAACCUCCCAGCUGAGCCCAGCCAACCCACAGAAUCAUGAAAAAUGACACAUUUUGUUGUUUUAAGCAUUAAGUUUGGGGGUGGCUUGUUA